GAGGAACAUACAUAGAAGGAGGAAUUGUAAGAGUGAAGAAUACGGCUAAGGGAAAGACAUGAGAAUUCAAGUUAAGCUGAAAAUAAUCUGCAAUCUGUAAGGAUCCAGUCAAUGAUAUAGGACAGUGGCAUCUCUCAGAGGAUUUGAAAAACAGCCAAGAUAUUUUUGGUGGUGAGCCCAGCCUUUCAUGUCUGAGCCAUCUCUCCAGCUCAGCUGUACUACAGAUCAAUAGUGAUUAAAACUGCAUGGCAUGGGUACAGAGUCAGACAGGUUGAUCAAUAGAAUAGAAUCAAAGACCUGAAGUAAACCCACACACCUAUGGACACUUGAUUUUUGACAAAGAAGCCAAAACAAUACAGUGGAAAAAAGAAAGCAUCUUCAACAUAUGGUACGUAGGUCUAAGUGGCGGUCUGCAGGUAGAAGAAUACAAAUCAAUACAUAUUUAUUACUCUAUACAAAGCUCAAGUCCAAGUGGAUCAAGAACCUCAACAUAAAACUAGGUCCACUGAAUAUAACAGAAGAGGAAGUGAUAAAUAGCCUUGAAUGCAUUGUCACAGGAGAAAAUUUACUGAACAGAACACCAAUGGCUCAGCAUGUAAGAUCAACAAUUGAUAAACAGGAUCUCUUGAAACUUCAAAGCUUCUGUUAGGCAAAAGACACUGUCAAUGGGACAAAACAGCCUACAGAUGAGGAAGUGAUCUUCACUAACCCUACAUCUGAUAGAGGGCUAAUAUCCAAAAUAUAUAAAGAACUCAGUAAGUUAAACUAUAAAGAAAAAAAUAACCCAAUUUAAAACAUGGGGUACAGAGCUAAACAGAGAAUUCUCAACAGAGGAAUCUCAAAUGGUCAAGAAACACCUUUUUAAAUGUUCAAAGUCCUUAAUCAUCAGGAAAUGCAAGUCAAAACAACUCUUAGGUUCCAUCUUAUACCCAUCAGAAUGACUAAGAUCAAAAACUCAGGAGAUAGCACAUACUGACCAGGAUGUGGAGCAAGGGGAACACUUCAUUGCUGGUAGGAGUGCAAACUUGUACUACCACUGUGGAAAUCAAUUUGGCAGUUUCUCAGGAAACUGGGAAUAGUUGUAUCUCAAGACCCAGCAUUACCACUCCUAGCCAUAUACCCAAAAGAUGCUGGAACAUCUCACAAAGACACUUGCUCAACUAUGUUCACAGGAGCUUUAUUCAUAAUAGCCAGAAACUGGAAACAACCUAGAUGUCCCUCACCUGAAGAUUAAAAAACAAACAAACAAACAAAC
rnacentral:lncRNA from 1 species